rnacentral:tRNA from 1 species
GGAGGUGUGGCUCAGUGGUAGAGUGCUUGUCUAGCACGUCAGCAGCCCUAGGUUCCAUUUCUAGCACAUACA